rnacentral:rRNA from 1 species
UACAUGGGGUGCAAACGUUGCUCGGAAUUAUUGGGCGUAAAGCGCGCGUAGGCGGUUACUCAAGUCGGAUGUGAAAGCCCUCGGCUUAACUGAGGAAGUGCACCCGAAACUGAGUAGCUAGAGUACUAAAGAGGGUCGCGGAAUUCCCGGUGUAGAGGUGAAAUUCGUAGAUAUCGGGAGGAACACCGGUGGCGAAGGCGGCGACCUGGGUAGAUACUGACGCUGAGGCGCGAACGCGUGGGGAGCAAACAGG